UUUUCAUUAACCCAUCGACUAUGUAUGUUUCAAAUUAAGGUAAUGGCUGUAAAUUGCUUGCCAUCAGAUGCGGAAGAGCAAAUUUUAUUUUCUUUCAGUUGUGAUGACGGUUAAGAAACGCAGUGUAAGGAAGAGCUUUAGGCAAUAGCAUAAAUGACAGAGAGUACAUGACUUAUGAUUAACAUUACCCUGAACUCCCAAUCUCUCAUUCUCUCUUCCGUGAGACCGUGGUAGACUUUGAAGCUGUUAGAUUUCAACACUACCUGUCUGCUCUAGCUUUGUGAUUCAAUUCAGUUGUUUAUCUGCGUAUUAUUUUGUGC